CCCAGCCAGAUAUAGAGAAGUGGCUGGGAGAGGCUGGGAGAGGGAGAGGAGUACAUAUUUGCGGUGGAAGAAGACUGAGAGGCAGAUCGAGAGCAGUAGUCUCAGAUGAGAUUAGGGCUACUAUAAUUGAUCAGGUAAUAAAUCAUGGUCUAUCAUUGAGAGGGGCUGGUCUGAGAGUGCAGCCAAAUCAGCAACGCUCAACAGACAUUUCUGUUAAAACAACAGUGACGGCCUUGUUCAGGGGCAGAACAACAGCUUUGUACCUUCUGGUUACAAGUCCAACACUCUAACCACUAGGCUACCCUGCCGCCCUGAGAGUCAACAACAACAUCAACAUCAAGUCAGGAUGAAGCAGUGUCCCCUUUGAGAGGAACUCUGAACAAGUCAAGCAACUCAGAAACCAACAUGUCCAGAGAGUAAAGGACAUUGAAGCCAGGCAAACACCCCACAUAUUCAUCUUUCUGGAUGAGGCUGGUUUCAACUCGGCCAAAACAUGGCGGCGAGGAAGGAAUGUGAUUGGAAAAAGGCCACAGUGGAAGUCCCGGGCCAGAGGGGUGCCAACAUCACAAUGUGUGCAGCAAUAUCCUCUGAUGGAUUGCUGUUACCCAAACCUCUAAUUUGGGCCAUACAACACAGAGCGUCUCAUUCCAUUCCUGGAUGACCUCUAUGGAAGGGUUGUGCCAGGUGAGGAAAGGGUUGCAAUGAGACGAAAUCGGCCAACGUUUGUAAUUGUAUGGGACAAUAUGGGAUUUCACCAUUCCCGUGCAGUCACAGAACCUGUGGCCAAAUGCAGAAGACAGGGUUGACUAGCAUUGCUACUGUAUCUGUAUCGGUAGAUGGUGUGUAUAUACAAAUUCUUGUAUUUUGGAAUCACUCAAUGCCAAAAAAAUGAUACAUAUUGAAGCAUAUUGCAUCAUGUCUGAUUCAUUCCUGUAACAUAUACUGCAGUGAAUUCUAAACAAUAAAGGUGUCAUUCUUGUUUUGUAAAGACAUUUUACAAAAUAAAACAUUGUGUAUUGCUACCUGUUAGCGUUUUUUAGGUCAUUGUUUUAUGAGUGACAAAGUGUGCGUGUUGGGUGACAACCUUUGCUAGUGUUUUAGUGCAUUUUGGAUGUGAAAUGAACUGCUGUGAAAGCUGAAAGUUGGUUAGAAGUGUGUGAAGAGUUUUGAAAAAGUGACCUAAGUAUUGAGAAAUGGGUUCUAGUGACUGUAAAAAAAUAUAGUAGUUUCAUCUGUGGUUGAAUGAGUUUGUGUUUUGUUGUUCAAACUCAUUGCUCAAAGGCUUGUAAGUUCAUUAAAGUAUCAUACAGUAUGUUCUGUGUGUUAUAACGGUUCCUUUCCCAAGUGGUAUGUAGCUG